rnacentral:rRNA from 1 species
GGUUGACCUCGAAUCAAGUAGGGAUACCCGCUGAACUUAAGCAU